AGGGCGCAGCGGUGUACGCCGCCUGAAGAGACCUCGCCGUGGAGAAGCAGCAGCGCCGAGCCGAUGGAGCGGCCAUGCCUGCAGGCGCACGGAGAGCCUCGUGGCUGAGUUGCCCCUGCAACUCUCUUAAAAGAGCGAUCACUGAGGGUGUUGUUGAGCCUUCGGAGCAUACGGCGCCUUUUUCAAGGCGCCCGGCUCCCGGAUGGUCUCAGCACCCGAAGAGGCUCCGCGGGCGGGCUGGAGCGGGCAGCGGGCGCGGGCCGAAGGUCCAGAGCUUUGUGUGAGGCAGCAGCAGCAUCGCGGGAGGUGAAGCUGGAUGUCGGCGUUGGAGGUGACGUGUGCCCGGUGAGCCGUGAGCGCUAGCCAGAAGCCGUUGCUGUCGCUGAAGUCUGACUCGGUGGUGCCAGUCUAAGCCUCCAGGACGGGAGUAAAUAGAAGGGGAGCGUACGUACCUUUGCCACGGGAUGGGUUUCACGUGGGGCUCAUGCCCGUUGUUGCCGCUUCCUUUCCUUGGAGGGCUGAAAUGGCAGGAAAGGCCAGCUUGUCCAGCAUGGGAAAGGUUUCUAUUCCCUAGGAUCUUGUUUGGUGGUGUAUGUUGUGUUUUGAUGUUGUUUCUUGUGUCCAGUUUUUUUUUUUUUUUUUUAAAGUGAGGAUCACUUUAUGGGUGGGUGUAUUUGUAUUGGAGGUGGAGUGGAUUUCAGUCUUAUUUUG